rnacentral:misc_RNA from 1 species
UAAGAGCCAGCUUAAAUCUGACAACACAUUCUUUACGGUAUUUGAAAUUUCGUCCAGUGAGACUUCUAUACCCAGUAAACAAGCAAUGGGUACUAGCUAAGCCCGGCCGCGGUAGGUUUGGGGUGCCUCAGCAUUUGGAAAAAUGCUCAUGCGAAUGAGCCCACAUCACUGAAUCCCCUUGAAUACGGCUGGAUGGAGAUGGAAAACCGUUACGUAUUUAAGUGGUUCGAAGGAGACCAACUUCCUUGCUUUGUCAGCGACUUGAUUCUAAAUCCUGAAGAAUCUGACUUGGAGGAUGAAGAUGACUUGUCACUUUCUGAAGACGAUUCCGAAGAUGAAAAUUAAUUAUAAAAUAUUUCAUGAUUAUUUCAUUGUUAUAAAUUAUUUCCAAAAAUAAAUAUAUUCUGAUAUGAAUAAUGAA